AGACUCCUACGGGGGGCCGCAGUCUACAAGCUUCCUACAACGGACGAAAGUCUGAUGGAGCGGACGCCGUCUGUGGGAUGACUGCCGCUGGAGGUUGUAAACCACUGUCAUCAGGGAAGACUGCCUUGAUGGCGAAUCACGGACAGACGGUACCUGCUGACGAAGCCCCUGCUACCUCCUUGCCACCCACCUCGGUGAAUCACCGAGUGGUGCCACGUUGUUCGGAUUGUACUGUGCGUAAAGGGUGUCUACGCGGUUCGAUUAGUCUGGUGUGACAAUAUCCAUCGCUCACCGCAGAUGACGCAUUGGAAACAGUCGAGCUCGAGAUUGGAAGAGUCAGCUGGCAAUUCCUGGUAUACCGGUGGAAUGCGUAGAUAUCAGGAAGAACACUCGUGCCGAAGACGGCAUGCUGGUCCAUUUCCGACGCUGAAGCACGAAAGCCAGGGGAGCGAACGGGAUUAGAUACCCCGGUAGUCCUGGCCGUAAACGUUGAACACUGGAUGUCGGGGAUAUCGACCCCCUCGGUGUCGGAGCUAACGCGUUAAGUGAUCCGCAUGGGGAGUACGUCCGCAAGGUUGAAACUCAAAGGAAUUGACGGGGGCCCGCACAACCGGUGGAGGAUGUGGACUAAUUGGACGCGACGCGAAGAACCUUACCUGGGCUUAAACCGCAGGGUAAACCGUAUGAAAGGAGGG
rnacentral:rRNA from 1 species